GACAGAGGUGGCAAGCGUUGUUCGGAUUUACUGGGCGUAAAGCGUGCGUAGGUGGUGAGGUAAGACCUGCGGGAAAGACCUGGGCUUAACCCAGGAAGGUCGCGGGUGACUGCUUUGCUGGAGGACGGGAGAGGAGAGCGGAAUUCCCGGUGUAGCGGUGAAAUGCGUAGAGAUCGGGAAGAAGGCCGGUGGCAAGGCGGCUCUCUGGAACGUUCCUGACACUGAGGCACGAAAGCGUGGGGAGCAAACAGG
rnacentral:rRNA from 1 species